UACGUAGGGUGCAAGCGUUGUCCGGAUUUAUUGGGCGUAAAGAGCUCGUAGGCGGUCUGUCGCGUCGGAUGUGAAAACCCAGGGCUCAACCCUGGGCCUGCAUUCGAUACGGGCAGGCUAGAGUGUGGUAGGGGAGAUCGGAAUUCCUGGUGUAGCGGUGAAAUGCGCAGAUAUCAGGAGGAACACCGGUGGCGAAGGCGGAUCUCUGGGCCAUUACUGACGCUGAGGAGCGAAAGCGUGGGGAGCGAACAGG
rnacentral:rRNA from 1 species